rnacentral:lncRNA from 1 species
GAAAAUGUUAUACUUUACCACUUGAGAAAAAUCACGAUUUAUAUUAUCUCUUGAAGGGAUUUGGGAAUUUGAUAUUAUGUCUUGGAAGCUGCACACCUUCUGCAUAUGUGCCUAGGUCUAAAAUAUGAAUUGACUAAGUAUACGAAGCUGCACACCUUCUGCAUACGUGCUAGGGCUUGGAACAUAAUUUGGAUAACAUACUUUGGGACCAUAGAGUCAUACUAGCCCUGUCACUAGCAUCACAAGUAGGAACACCAAUCACAAGCAUACACAUAACAUGUUUAUUUUAAUCAUGCACAUGUUACUAAGAGGGAGGGAGUAGGGUAUAUGUUGCCAUCUGUAUUUUUCUUGAAAAUUUACAGCACAUCAGUAAUGGUUAACAAUGCUGGAAAACCUGCUUCGGCAGAAAAUGAGCUUUAGUGGCAAUUCAGCCACGCUUCGGAGGGGAAAGCCUUAAGUAGAAUUUGGGUCUUCUCAGCGCAGUCAG